rnacentral:rRNA from 1 species
GACGAACGCUGGCGGCGUGCUUAACACAUGCAAGUCGAACGGAAAGGCCCUGCUUUUGUGGGGUGCUCGAGUGGCGAACGGGUGAGUAACACGCGAGUAACCUGCCCUUGACUUUGGGAUAACUUCAGGAAACUGGGGCUAAUACCGGAUAGGAGCUCCUGCUGCAUGGUGGGGGUUGGAAAGUUUCGGCGGUUGGGGAUGGACUCGCGGCUUAUCAGCUUGUUGGUGGGGUAGUGGCUUACCAAGGCUUUGACGGGUAGCCGGCCUGAGAGGGUGACCGGCCACAUUGGGACUGAGAUACGGCCCAGACGCCUACGGGAGGCAGCAGUGGGGAAUAUUGCACAAUGGGCGGAAGCCUGAUGCAGCAACGCCGCGUGCGGGAUGACGGCCUUCGGGUUGUAAACCGCUUUCGCCUGUGACGAAGCGUGAGUGACGGUAAUGGGUAAAGAAGCACCGGCUAACUACGUG